GACGAACGCUGGCGGCGUGCUUAACACAUGCAAGUCGAACGGAAAGGCCCUGCUUUUGUGGGGUGCUCGAGUGGCGAACGGGUGAGUAACACGUGAGUAACCUGCCCUUGACUUUGGGAUAACUUCAGGAAACUGGGGCUCAUACCGGAUAGGAGCUCCUGCUGCAUGGUGGGGGUUGGAAAGUUUCGGCAGUUGGGGAUGGACUCGCGGCUUAUCAGCUUGUUGGUGGGGUAGUGGCUUACCAAGGCUUUGACGGGUAGCCGGCCUGAGAGGGUGACCGGCCACAUUGGGACUGAGAUACGGCCCAGACUCCUACGGGAGGCAGCAGUGGGGAAUAUUGCACGAUGGGCGGAAGCCUGAUGCAGCAACGCCGCGUGCGGGAUGACGGCCUUCGGGUUGUAAACCGCUUUCGCCUGUGACGAAGCGUGAGUGACGGUAAUGGGUAAAGAAGCACCGGCUAACUACGUG
rnacentral:rRNA from 1 species